rnacentral:rRNA from 1 species
UGCGUAGGUGGCGAGGUAAGUUUGGUGUGAAAUCUCCGGGCUCAACCCGGAAACUGCAUUGAAUACUAUCUUGCUUGAGGGUCGGAGGGGAGACUGGAAUUCUCGGUGUAGCAGUGAAAUGCGUAGAUAUCGAGAGGAACACCGGUGGCGAAGGCGAGUCUCUGGACGACACCUGACACUGAGGCACGAAAGCUAGGGGAGCAAACA